rnacentral:siRNA from 1 species
AGGAUGAGAUAGAAUGGUUGUGG